rnacentral:lncRNA from 1 species
CAAAUGUCUUUCAUUGUUGCAAAUGUUACUGUAUUUAGUUAGUGUACAAACCACUGACCGGGUGAAGGCCAGUCCGUCUGGUUGGGUCUGCACCGCUGACCAGGUAAAGGCCAGUCCGUCUGGUUGGGUCUGCACCGCUGACCAGGUGAAGGCCAGUCCGUCUGGUUGGGUCUGCACCGCUGACCAGGUGAAGGCCAGUCCGUCUGGUUGGGUCUGCACCGCUGACCAGGUGAAGGCCAGUCCGUCUGGUUGGGUCUGCACCGCUGACCAGGUGAAGGCCAGUCCGUCUGGUUGGGUCUGCACCGGGGCCUCUCUCACACACCUGGGCCAGCGUCUCUUCAAAACUUGAGACGGCAUGAUCGUUUCAGCCACAGAGUGGGAGCGAGAUGAUCUGGAAUAGAAAGCCCUGCUGCCACUGAAUGAAUCAGCGAUUCUACUGUAGUCUGUGUGGGUGAUGUGGGACUGACUGUCCUUCUCCGAGACACUGGAGUACUUGUCGCUCCAAGAUGUGUCUGAGACGCUGUAGUCCAUGACCUUGCUGACCUCCAACGCGUCUUUGUCCCCAUCUCUGUCUCCCAGGUGCUCGGAGAUCUCGCUGACACUACUCCUGUCUGUUUCAGUCUUGAUCUCACUCUCAAUGUCACUCUUGUAGUCCUCCCUAGGCUCUACUGAUGGGAUCCUCUCCUCACACCUCCAGUACCACUGGCUGUCAUUAUCACCACUGGCUGUCAUUAUCACCACUGGCUGUCAUUAUCACCCACCUUUUUUGUUGUUGUUUGUUUUCUCCGACAUUCCAAGCGUGACCGGUGCGAGGUCGUCCAGUGACAAAAUAUUAAUGUUGAAUUCUGCAGAGAAAACAUGACUUCAUGAAUCAACUGGACUCAGUAAAUUAUAUCAAAAACACUCUAUCUCUGGUUAACUAGCACUCAAAACAUAUUCUUGAAGAAAGUUUCUCAUUUCAUAUUGCUUUUCACUACAACUCUACAGACAUUCGACAAAUGACCUGGCUUACCAUCAGAGACUCCACUUCUCUCACUGACGGCAUCAUUGGAGGGCAGGUCCUCAGAGAAGAGCUCCGCCAGAGCAUCCAGGGCCUCAGAGAAGAGCUCCACCAGGGAGCACACCUCACUGAGGGCUGACACUGAGGACCGGGAGGGUUUGAGGUGCCUGGCCCGUGUGGAGCCCUGACUGCCUGGGGAGGGGGCGUAGGGGGGGAUAGGGCGAUGGAGAGAGGACUACUGAGGCACUGCGGAUGGAGAGAGGACUGCGUUGGUCCAGGGCUCGGCUGGAGAAGCGACUGGGUGAUCCGCUGCACGGAGGAGAGGGUGGAGAGCGGGACUGGGCUCUGACUGACGAUGAUCGGUCUGCCAGUGGAGGCUAUACACUGACGACUCAAAAGAGCCCCCCAGGAGCUUCCUCAUAUCCUCCUCAUCACUGUCUAGAGUCAUACCUCUACCGGCCACCCUUAUUGGAGUACCGGGUUUGGAACUACCCUAUGGCAUGGCAUCAAGAUCCAGGCUUUUCUCCUUUGGCGCUACAGCAGGUAUAGGUGAUACAUGCACUCUCUUCUUCAGGAAGCGUUUCCUUCAUGCUGAGGUCACUGCUGGACUGGGCAGGCAGGGGCUUCUCCUUCUCCUGGGGGGCUGUUGGUAUACUCCUAUCAGCCAACAUCGCUGGUCCGUCCCUGGCCUGUUGACAAUUUCGGAUGCGGUUCUCUAUGACAGCCAGUCGGCUCAGGGCCGCGCUCUGUGAGCUCCUCUGUGAUGUGGACUCGACUGACUAUGUCUGAGUCCAGCUCAGGGCUGGAGGUUGGCUGGUAGCUGCAGCAGGUGGAGGAAGA